ACUUCUUCACGUACGGCAUAUGAAACAUGAAUAAAACCUAUCUGUUCUUAUAAGCUUAUUGUCUGAUACGGAUCCUAUUUGGAUCCAAGAUAUUAAACUUAUUUUUGCAUUGUGGCGGAGUUCUUGAAGCUUGCUUCAGCUCCACAACAGGUUGGCUCGGUAUUGCACUACCUCCGGGAUCGACCCACUCACC